rnacentral:rRNA from 1 species
GUGGGGAAUAUUGGACAAUGGGCGAAAGCCUGAUCCAGCCAUGCCGCGUGUGUGAAGAAGGUCUUCGGAUUGUAAAGCACUUUAAGUUGGGAGGAAGGGCAGUAAGUUAAUACCUUGCUGUUUUGACGUUACCGACAGAAUAAGCACCGGCUAACUUCGUGCCAGCAGCCGCGGUAAUACGAAGGGUGCAAGCGUUAAUCGGAAUUACUGGGCGUAAAGCGCGCGUAGGUGGUUUUGUAAGUUGGAGGUGAAAUCCCCGGGCUCAACCUGGGAACUGCCUCCAAAACUGCAUGACUAGAGUACGGUAGAGAGUAGUGGAAUUUCCUGUGUAGCGGUGAAAUGCGUAGAUAUAGGAAGGAACACCAGUGGCGAAGGCGACUACCUGGACUGAUACUGACACUGAGGUGCGAAAGCGUGGGGAGCAAACAGGAUUAGAAACCCCAGUAGUCC